GACAACCAGCUAGGCCUGAAUACUCAAACUGUCUUGGUGAGAUGGAUAAGAUUUAUUUGCCUUGCAGCAGAGCACCAUCAACUUGAGAUCCUCUACAUGCCAAGCUACCCAACCUGUUAUUGUUGGGGGAAGUUAAAAAGUGAUACUAGGUGUGGAUGUCAAAACUCGAGGAGGGAUUCUCACAAGAAAGCAGUUGUUUAUUCAAGGAUCCCAUUGAUCAAGACAAGAAGUGGAUCUGGAAAGGAAAGGAAAAAAAGAAAGACGAUUCCCUUUCAACCAGAUACAAGAAUAGAUUCAAACUGCCAAAAAUAUCUACGUGUUAAAGCAGGGGGCCAAACAAAAAGCCCAUUCUGAACAAUAUCAUGGAGUCAACUGCAUGCCCAGCAGUUUCUUCAGUCAAUGCCUCUGACUCAGCUAACAUAGUUUCACCUCCAAUGUCAGAAAACACUGAAGAAUCUGAAGUUUCCCAGAACACUCAGUCAACAGAGUCUCCUGCCCUCCUGGAUCCUUCACUGCAAAGGGGCAGAACCCCCACUAGGGCACGGAUGGCCAUGGAUUCAAAUCAUACCCAAAGAGUUGUUCGGCAGUUCAGCCAAUCCAGACCUGUUGUGCCCAAGCCACCUUCCACCAAUCUUUCCUUGCUGAUCCUCACAGCUGUGGCCACGUGCCAGAAAAAGUCAGGCCUGUCCAUGCAAGCCCUGAAGAAAAUUGUGACAAGCAUGGGCUACGACAUGGCCAAGAAGAAGCGCUAUUUCCUGAGGUCUAUCAAAAGCAUGGUGGCUAAAGGGCAGCUCUGGCAAGUCAAAGGAACCGGAGCCACAGGCUCCUUCAAGGUCAAUCCUGACUUGCGGAAGAAACGACAGCAACCAAAGGUGAAAGGAAGAGGUCAGAAGGCAAAGGGGUCCAGCAAGAAGAAAAAUGGCCCAACUAGAUCCAGAAGUGGCAGGAACGCCACCAAGAAGCAAGGGAAGGUCGAUUCCUCUAAGAGAGCUUCCAACAGAAGCAGAAUGCCUUCUAUUCAAGCUGUUCAAAGCCAAGUCAAAGUUUGAAGGAUGCCUAACCUGUCCUCUGGAAUGGACUUCUGCAUCCUUAUGACAAUAAAGCAAUACCUGUAUUUAAAAAUCAA